GAUGAACGCUGGCGGCGUGCCUAACACAUGCAAGUCGAACGGGCCUCUUCGGAGGCUAGUGGCAAACGGGUGCGUAACACGUAGGUAAUCUACCCAGAAGACGGGGACAACGGAUGGAAACGUCCGCUAAUACCCGAUGGCGUCGCGAGACGAAAGGCGCAAGCCGCUUGUGGAGGAGCCUGCGGCCUAUCAGGUAGUUGGUGGGGUAACGGCCUACCAAGCCAACGACGGGUAGGGGGUGUGAGAGCAUGACCCCCCACACGGGGACUGAGACACGGCCCCGACUCCUACGGGAGGCAGCAGUGAGGGAUCUUGGGCAAUGGGCGCAAGCCUGACCCAGCGACGCCGCGUGGAGGACGAAGGGCUUCGGCUCGUAAACUCCUUUUCCCGUGGACGAGAGCAGGACGGUACACGGGGAAUAAGUCUCGGCUAACUACGUG
rnacentral:rRNA from 1 species